ACUCCUACGGGAGGCAGCAGUGGGGAAUAUUGCACAAUGGGCGCAAGCCUGAUGCAGCCAUGCCGCGUGUAUGAAGAAGGCCUUCGGGUUGUAAAGUACUUUCAGCAGUGAGGAAGGUGGGUAUGUUAAUAGCAUAUUCUAUUUGUACGUUAGCUGCAGAAGAAGCACCGGCUAACUCCGUGCCAGCAGCCGCGGUAAUACGGAGGGUGCGAGCGUUAAUCGGAAUUACUGGGCGUAAAGCGCAUGCAGGUGGUUGUUAAGUCAGAUGUGAAAGCCCGGGGCUCAACCUCGGAAUUGCAUUUGAAACUGGCAAACUAGAGUACUGUAGAGGGGGUAGAAUUUCAGGUGUAGCGGUG
rnacentral:rRNA from 1 species